rnacentral:rRNA from 1 species
GGAAUAUUGGACAAUGGAUGGAAAUCUGAUCCAGCCAUGCCGCGUGCAGGAAGACGGCCCUAUGGGUUGUAAACUGCUUUUGUAUGGGAGCAAUAAGGACUACGUGUAGUUUGAUGAGAGUACCAUACGAAUAAGCAUCGGCUAACUCCGUGCCAGCAGCCGCGGUAAUACGGAGGAUGCGAGCGUUAUCCGGAUUUAUUGGGUUUAAAGGGUGCGCAGGCGGGAUGUUAAGUCGGCGGUGAAAUUUUGCAGCUCAACUGUAAAAGUGCCUUCGAUACUGGCCUUCUUGAGUGUGGAUGAAGUAGGCGGAAUUUGUGGUGUAGCGGUGAAAUGCUUAGAUAUCACGAGGAACUCCGAUUGCGCAGGCAGCUUACUAAGCCACAACUGACGCUCAUGCACGAAGGCGUGGGGAUCAAACA